rnacentral:lncRNA from 1 species
UUUUUCCUAAACCAAUCAAUCAAACCAACAAAACAAAAUAAAUUCAAAAUAUAGUGUCCAGUUCAAUUAUACAGUCAAAAAUAGAAAAAUGCGAAAACGUAAAUCCUAUUCUAACCUACACUAAUCCUAAACUAUGCACCAAUGCCUCGGGCCUUGAUUACGAGCCUCCUUUGCGUACACAAUACUUCGAGGCAUUCCCCGACUAAAUAAAUACAUUGUCAAUUUUCAAAUGAGAAAAUGAAAUAAUCUAAAGCAUAAAAAAUUCAAUCAUUUCACAAUCAUCAAUUUCUAUAAUUUGCCUACCCAUUUGGCAGCCUAAUCAUGACACUAUCGUGUUCAAUAAAAAUUAACAUUUUUGUUCCGAAUUAAACAACCAUAAACGGAUCAAACAACCAAUAUUCACUUCUAAUCCAUUUUCCACCCCCGCUUAAUUUCAUCUGUAACGUAAAUCCAAACCCUUAUGUAUAGUCAUCACCUUUAUAUCAUCGAGAUCCAUUAUUCAGAAACAAACAACAUCAACAUAAUCAUCCAACAAACAAAACAAAGAUACCAAAUCACCUCCACAAUCAUGGAGAGGUGAGAAAAAAAAUGGACCUCAAUUUUUAUUUCAAUUCAUCAAAGUAUUUGAAUAGAGCUCCGACCGGAAUGCCUCGACCCGACAUCAGAACAUCGAAUAACUCCAACUGAAAAUUGCGAAACGGAGAGAGAUAUGUGUGUGUGUGUUUUGUUGCCUUUUUUGUGAGUAGGAAAACAAAAUGGAGAUUGUGUAUUAUUAAAAAAAAGAUAGAAGAGGAUGAAAAUUGGAUUGUAUGUGGUAGAUGAAAAUUGUAAGAUGAGUGGAAUUAUUGUUUCUUUUUUUUAAAAAAAUAAAGAUGGAGUGUGUGCGCUCUAUAUCCCCUUCUCCUAGUGUGUUUUCUGUCCAGGUGUAUAUGUGGUUCUUCUGUGUUGUGAAAUGUGUGUGAUAUUCAAAAGAAAAAAUGGAGAGAAGCUAAUUAUUGCUCUCUUUUUUUGGUCAAAAAGGAGAAAAAGAAAGGAAAAUGAUGGUGUUAGGGAGGUGGAUGUGUAUGAUGAUGGUGGGUCUCCUGUAAAUGACUGUGUUAUGGAGGUGGGAACACACGGGUUAGAAUAGGUAGGAAGAUAAAUAAGUGAAAAUUAAUUUUUAGGACAAAUAAAAUUACAUGUCUAUAGUUGUUUGAUUUAAAAUAUCUUGAGAAUAA